AAAGUUUAUUGAAAGUUUUCGUUCCUUUCACAGUCGACCCUUUCAUCUUGGAAGAGGAAGUCUAGGGUUAGGGUUGAGAGAGAGCGAGAAAGAAAAAAAAAGGAGAACUCGAUGGAUGCCACAGGCUGGACGUGAUCGGUGAUCAGAAGAGUUGGAACCGGCGAAGUGCGAAGCAUCAGUUGUUGAAUGAAGGGGAUGGGGCAUUCUAUGGACCAAAGAUAGACAUCAGUGUAUCUGAUGCAUUAAGUAAGAAAUUUCAGUGUGCAACUUUGCAGGUUUGCCACGCUCAGAUAGAUUUGUGUUCACAUGAUUUAGUUUUGGAUAACUUGUCAUGUAAUAGCUAGGUGAAUGUGGUUACUAGCAGCUUAACUUCCAGCUUCCUGAUCGUUUGAAGUUGGAAUUCUCUGCUGAGGAUGAAGCCAAAAUUGAGAGACCUGUAAUGAUACAUAGAGUAAUUCUAGGAUCUGUUGAACACAUGUUUGUCAUACUUUUAGAGCACUACAAGGGUAAAUGGCCUUUCUGGCUCAGUCCUCUUCAAGCAAUUGUAUGUCCUGUGUCUGGAAAAUCAUUAUCUUAUGCACUACAGUUAAGCAACUCUGAAUUUUAUGCUUUAUUCUUUGAUAUAUUUGCUUAUACCUAUCAAAUGAUACAAAUGUUGUACUGACAUAUCUUGUGGCAGCACCUGUAUUUUUUUCAUGCCUAUAAAUUAACUGUCUAGUACUCUCAUAAUUGGCUUUUCCUUGUUUAUUUCUGAGCUUUUCUGUAUCAUGUUGAAACCGUUGAAGCAGUUUGAUUUUGUUACUAAAUUUUGUUCAGUCCAUCUCAUACAUUUUUAAAUAAACUUCCAGCUGUAAUCUGAUCACAAAAUUCGAGCAAUCUCCUUGAAUAGUUGAAUAUCUUAGAGUGUGUUUGGUUUUUCAGAAUUCUUUCUAUUUUUACAAAACGAUCAUUAAAAUUCCACCUUGUACAAUAUUUUGGAAAUAGGAAACAGGGAAAUAUAUCAUAUUUGUAAUCAUUAGCAAAGGCAUGAAUCAUUUCUUAAAUCAAACAGGCUAUUGACUUUUUAUUAUCUGUUUGUAAUUUGUUAGGAUACUUGUACUGCUAUAUAUAUCUUUCUACUUUUACAAAAGGCUCAUUAAAAUUCCACCUUGUACAAUAUUUUGGAAAUAGGAAAUAGGGAAAAAUAUCAUAUUUGUAAUUACUAGAUUUUGUACCUUGUACGAUACCAAAGUGUAUGUAUUAUUCUAUUGUAAUAUUUUAAAAGCUGUUACUUGUAAUGAAUUUUAUUCAAGUUGUUAUAUAUUUGGAACCUUAAGUAGAGUAUUCUAAUUCAUUUAAAUGCAACUAAACUAGUUUAGUCUCCGAAAUGACUUGGUAUCAGUUUUAUAACUUAUUAUAUCAAACAACUUUAAUAGUCGUUUUGUGUCUUCUAAUAUUUGGGGAUUUUAUUUUUUAUGAAAAAUUUUGUAUACUAAAUGUUUAGUAAAUCUGUAAUUGAAAGUUGUUUCUUGAUUGAAGAGAAAUGUCUUUAAAUUGAAGUUGUGACAUUUUGCAGGUACGAGAAGCACAAUUAGCUCAGUACAAGUACAUGUUGGUUGUCGGAGAGGAGGAAGCAAAUACUGGACAGGUUGUAUGGCCAUCUGAAGUUGUCGUGGUAGAUUUACUCUGCUUUCAUAAAGUAGGAACAACUAAACAAGAUCGGUGGUGAGUGAGAGGCAUUGAGAGAAGAAGAAAAUGAAGUUUUGGUUGCUAUCAUUGUUGACCAAGAGGCGACCAUUGCUAAGCUUGAGAAAAUGGUUGAGAAGCUACAAAUGUUUGUUGCUAAGAAGAGGCAAGGGGUUGCUCAUGUUGGGAACUCACAUUCAAAUAAAGAUUAUGACAUGGUAGUUGAUGAUUUUGGGACCAAUAAUUCACAGGAAGAUUAUGAGCUAGUAGUUUCAUCUGUUCUGGUUUCAAAUUCUAAGAAAGAAAUAGAGAUGGAAGGUGAUGAUGUUGAGAAGUCCAAUUCUAAGAAGAAUUUUGAAAGUACAUUGUAAAUUGUAAAUUUGAAUGAUGUUAACUGUUGUAUUUUUUUAUGAAGGUUGAAUAUAUGAUUCAUUUGUAAUUGUUAUUCAGUUGUUCAUUUUUCAGGUUCAAUGAAUUUGAUUUGGGAAUACAUUAUUUUUUAUCUUCUUUUUGCUCAUAAUGCCAAUUCAAUUAACCAUGUGCUUCGUUACAGAUAAACAAUAACUAAAAAAGUUUUUAAGUCAAUGCAGUUAAACAUUUGAUUUUUUCCUGCAGUAAGUGGUUUUUUCAUUCAACAUUGAUAAUGCUAUAAUUUACCAUAUUUUAAGCAUCAUUUUAGUAGCAAAAUGAACCCCUAUCUAACUUAUAACUUGUUAAAUCCUCUUCUUUUGUCUUGUUUUUUAUUUAAUUGUGUUUUUGGCUACUUUGAUGAACUUUGAUCAAUAAUCCCUUGUUUUGUAGCUAAAAAUGAGCUUGGAAGACUCUCCAACAAAUUAUAGAGAAGAACCAACCAAGGCAUGCAGAAACGCUCGCACAAGCAGGACGUUCGUCCAAGAUUCAGGACGCUCGUCGCCAGAAAAGGACGCUCGUCCAAAGUGGAAGCACGAGCGGACGCUCGUCCAGAAGGAAGAAAUGGGCGCUCGUUCAAGCCAAGCAGAUGAGGACGUUCGUCCAGGAAGCACAAGCGGACGCUCGUCCUGGAAGCAGAAGAGGACGUUCGUCCAGGACGCUUAGAGAGGACGCUCGUCCAGGACGUUUAGAGGGGACGCUCGUCCAGAAAAGAGAAAAGAGGACGCUCGUCCAGGAGCUCAUAGAGGACGUUCGUCCAGAGAGUUAAGAGGACGCUCGUCCAACGAAGACGUCCAGCGAGACACGCAGUGGACGCUCGUCCAGAAGGCAGAAGAGCGGACGCUCGUUCAGCCAGGCAGAAGUGGACGCUCGUCCAGCCAGGCAGAAGAGGACGGUCGUCCUAAGAUGCGCAGUGGACGUUCGUCCAGCGAAGAGAGCAGUGGACGUUCAUCCAGCGAGAGAAGAGGCGCUCGGUGAACGCUCGGCAGCGAGAAGUGACGCUCGUCAAGGACGGUCGUCUACUUUCAGGACGCUCGUCCACUUUCAGCUUCCAGAGAGUUUCACGCCCGGGCGUGAGAAAUGGGGCGCCCGGGCGUGACUUUCCAGUGGUUAUUUAUGAAAGAGGUUUUGUACACAAAUAGAAGUGGUUUAAUUCAAUAUAAAUCAUGACAUUUCUU